GUUUUGAAGCCGCUUCUCUGGCCGAGUUAGGUUUCGCCCAGCGCAAUUUCUUUCUCUAUGUACUUUGCGAAUAAGUUUCGGAGCAUCGGUUAACAGCCUAUGGGUGAAAUUUGGCUUUCAUUCAUGAAUGAGGAAUCCAGAUCUUACAUAAGAUGGAAGUCUCUCACACUAGAUACUGAACAUUAAAUAGAAAAUCUAUUUAGUAAAAUCUAAGUUGCCAAGGAAGAAAUACCAGUAAAAGUUGCUGUAAGAAUUAGACCUCUGCUUUGCAAAGAAGUUCUUCAUAAUCACCAAGUUUGUGUGAGAGUUAUUCCAAACAGCCAGCAAGUUAUCAUUGGGAGAGAUAGAGUCUUCACUUUUGAUUUUGUUUUUGGCAAAAAUUCCACUCAAGAUGAAGUUUAUAACACAUGUAUAAAGCCCCUAGUGUUGUCACUCAUUGAGGGCUGUAAUGCAACUGUUUUUGCCUAUGGACAAACUGGAUCUGGGAAGACAUACACCAUUGGAGGGGGCCAUAUUGCUUCAGUUGUGGAGGGCCAAAAGGGUAUCAUUCUUCGAGCUAUUCAAGAAAUAUUUCAAAGCAUCUCUGAACAUCCUAGCAUUGACUUUAAUGUGAAAGUAUCUUAUAUAGAAGUGUACAAGGAAGACCUAAGAGAUCUUCUAGAAUUGGAGACAUCCAUGAAAGAUCUUCACAUCCGAAAAGAUGAAAAAGGAAACACAGUGUGUGCUUGCUGCUGAUGAAGUAGUAUUUAAUCAGAAGGAACUGGAGGUUAAGGAACUGAAGAAUCAAGUGCAGAUGAUGGUACAGGAAAACAAAGGGCAUGCUGUAUCUUUGAAAGAAGCGCAAAAAGUGAAUAGACUGCAGGAUCUCAUUCUGUUGCUCAGGCUGGUGUGCGCUGGCACAAUCACAGCUCACUGCAGUCUCGACCUUCCAGGCUCAAGUGAUCCUCCCGCCUCAGCCUCCUAACUGUGACCACAGGUGCAUGCCACCGCGCCCGGCUAAUUUUCUGAUUUUUUUGUGGAGACGGGGUCUCACUGUGUUGCUCAAGCUGGUCUCGAACUCCUGGGCUCAGUGAUCCUACCACCUCAGCUUCCCAAAGUGCUGAGAUUGAUUACAGAAUGAAAAAAUAAUAGAACAACAACUUCUUGUGGAUCAACUGAGUGAAGAACUAACAAAACUUAACCUGUCAGUGACUUCUUCAGCUAAAGAAAAUUGUGGAGACGGGCCAGAUGCCAGGAUCCCUGAAAAGAGACCAUAUACUGUACCAUUUGAUACUCAUUUGGGGCAUUAUAUUUAUAUCCCAUCAAGACAAGAUUCCAGGAGGGGGAAUCACUUGCAAGGUCCACACAAGUCCGCCUAUGUACUCUCUGGAUCGAAUAUUUGCUGGAUUUCGAACACAAAGUCAGAUGCUGUUGGAUCACGUAGAAGAACGAGAUGAGGUCCUCCACUGCCAAUUUUCUGAUAACAGUGAUGAUGAAGAAUCAGAAGGCCAAGAGAAAUCUGGAACUAGAUGUAGAAGUCGUUCAUGGAUUCAGAAGCCAGACUCUGUUCCCUUGUUGAAUUGAGUGAUACUCAGGAUGAAACACAAAAGUCAGAUUCGGAGAAUGAAGAUUUAAAGAUUGAUUGUCUCCAGGAGAGUCAAGAAUUGAAUUUGCAAAAAUUAAAGAAUUCAGAACGCAUACUUACUGAAGCCAAACAAAAAAUGAGAGAACUUACAGUUAACAUCAAGAUGAAGGAAGAUCUGAUUAAAGAAUUAAUAAAAACAG